rnacentral:rRNA from 1 species
UGCCGCGUGCAGGAUGACGGUCCUAUGGAUUGUAAACUGCUUUUGCACAGGAAAAAACAACGCUACGUGUAGCGUCUUGACCGUACUGUGACAAUAAGGAUCGGCUAACUCCGUGCCAGCAGCCGCGGUAAUACGGAGGAUCCGAGCGUUAUCCGGAAUCAUUGGGUUUAAAGGGUCCGUAGGCGGUUUACUAAGUCAGUGGUGAAAGCCCAUCGCUCAACGGUGGAACGGCCAUUGAUACUGCUAGACUUGAAUUAUUAGGAAGUAACUAGAAUAUGUAGUGUAGCGGUGAAAUGCUUAUAGAUUACAUGGAAUACCAAUUGCGAAGGCAGUUACUACUAAUGGAUUGACGCUGAUGGACGAAUGCGUGGGUAGCGAACAGGAUUACAUACCCUGGUAGUCCACGCCGUAGACGAUGGAUACUAUCUGUUGGGAGCGAUCUCACUGGCUAAGCGAAAGUGAUAAAUAUCCCACCUGGGGAGUACGUUCGCAAGAAUGAAACUCAGAGGAAUUGACCGGGGCCCGCACAAGCGGUGGAGCAUGUGGUUUAAUUCAAUGAUACGCGAGGAACCUUACCAAGGCUUAAAUGUAAAUUGACCGGUUUGGAAACAGACUUUUCGCAAGA